rnacentral:rRNA from 1 species
UACGUAGGGUGCAAGCGUUAAUCGGAAUUACUGGGCGUAAAGCGUGCGCAGGCGGUUUUGUAAGACAGAGGUGAAAUCCCCGGGCUCAACCUGGGAACUGCCUUUGUGACUGCAAGGCUUGAGUGCGGCAGAGGGGGAUGGAAUUCCGCGUGUAGCAGUGAAAUGCGUAGAUAUGCGGAGGAACACCGAUGGCGAAGGCAAUCCCCUGGGCCUGCACUGACGCUCAUGCACGAAAGCGUGGGGGAGCAAACAGG